ACUCCGAUAGUUUAAUUGGUGAAAAUUUUCGACUGAUAAUCGAAAGAGUGCCUGUUCGAUUCAGGCUCGGAGUACCA
rnacentral:tRNA from 1 species